rnacentral:rRNA from 1 species
CCUACGGGAGGCAGCAGUAAGGAAUAUUGGUCAAUGGACGCAAGUCUGAACCAGCCAUGCCGCGUGGAGGAUGAAGGUCCUCUGGAUUGUAAACUUCUUUUAUUUGGGAAGAAACCCACGAUUUCUAUUGUGGUUGACGGUACCAGAUGAAUAAGCACCGGCUAACUCCGUGCCAGCAGCCGCGGUAAUACGGAGGGUGCAAGCGUUAUCCGGAUUCACUGGGUUUAAAGGGUGCGUAGGCGGGCAGGUAAGUCAGUGGUGAAAUCUCCGAGCUUAACUUGGAAACUGCCGUUGAUACUAUCUGUCUUGAAUGCUGUGGAGGUAAGCGGAAUAUGUCAUGUAGCGGUGAAAUGCUUAGAUAUGACAUAGAACACCCAUUGCGAAGGCAGCUUGCUACACAGAAAUUGACGCUGAGGCACGAAAGCGUGGGGAUCAAACAGGAUUAGAUACCCUGGUAGUCCACGCCUAACGAUAGAUACUCGACAUCAGCGAUACACAGUGGUGUGUG